rnacentral:rRNA from 1 species
AGCGAACGCUGGCGGCAGGCCUAACACAUGCAAGUCGAACGGAUCCUUCGGGAUUAGUGGCGGACGGGUGAGUAACACGUGGGAACGUGCCCUUUGGUUCGGAACAACUCAGGGAAACUUGAGCUAAUACCGGAUGUGCCCUUCGGGGGAAAGAUUUAUCGCCAUUGGAGCGGCCCGCGUCUGAUUAGCUAGUUGGUGAGGUAACGGCCCACCAAGGCGACGAUCAGUAGCUGGUCUGAGAGGAUGAUCAGCCACACUGGGACUGAGACACGGCCCAGACUCCUACGGGAGGCAGCAGUGGGGAAUCUUGCGAAAUGGGAGAAAGCAUGAAGCAGCCAUGCCGCGUGAAUGAUGAAGGUCUUAGGAUUGUAAAAUUCUUUCAGCGGGGACGAUAAUGACGGUACCCGCAGAAGAAGCUCCGGCUAACUUCGUG